CGGGCGAAUUUUUUUUUUGGACGAGGUUACGACUUAGCCGCUGGAGCGAAAGUGGUCUGUUAGUACGAGGCUCGCAGCGCAGCUUUGAUUCUCGGUAGUCAAUGGACAUGUUACAACCACGAUUUUGACGGGGCCCCAGUUUUGAACGUCACGUCGGCUGAACGUGGUUUUCUCGGCACAAAUCGACUUCAAAUAUAUUGGACGGCAGAUGUUAAUAGUCUUUACUGGCAAAUGCAACGUGUAGACAACACGAGAGAGUCACUUGGAAAAGGCAAAGCUGUGAAGAAUGGAGAGAUGUCGCUAGGAGUGUGGGACAGCGUAUGCAGUACAUAUGAUGGAGCCAUGCAACUCUCUUAUUCCUAUCAAUGGAAAUACAAAUGGUUGGCAAUUCUUGAGAAACAAUUGUGCUAUAUGUUGCUGAGAAAAAUGUCCAACAUUUCUUUAUAUAGAGCCAAGAUCAUUUAGUCUGCAUGGGAAUCAACAAAAUCAUUGUCUCAACUGCAUGGCCAGCACAAGCCCUAUCUUAAAUUCUGUUUGUCCGUACGUCCUACUGUCAACUGUCUGUUUGCCUGUCUGCAGCCUUUCUGUUUGUCUUUCCAUAUAUUUUCCUAAAUGAAGUUAGAAAGUUUGAAACAAUAUAAAAGCAAGCAAGGCUAAGUACAGUUCACACUGUCCAACAGCUAAAUACAACUUGCAGAUUAAGCAAAGUAAAGGGACAUAAAUGUCCUUGUCUGUCUGUCUGUCUGUCUCAAUACAUAUAUUUUCCAUUUAAAUCAAACAUUUACAUCUGUCUGUCUGUCUGUCUGUCUGUUUUCAUUGACUGUAUAAGUCAAUCAACAUAGUGACUGUAUAAAUAGAUCAAUAUUGACUGUAUAUAUCAAUUCAUAUCGACUAUAUAAAAUUAAUCAAUAAUGACUGUAUAAAUCAAUCAAUAAUGACUGUAUAAAUCAAUCAAUAUUGACUGUAUGUAUCAAUCAAUAUAAUGACUGUGAAAUCAGUCAGCAUUGAUUGAUUUAUACAUUCAAACUGAUUGAUAUACACAGUCAAUAUUGGUUGAUUUAUACAGUCAAUAUUGAUUGAUUUAUAGUCAUUAUGGUGAUUAAUUUAUACAGUCAAUAUUGAUUAAUUUUAUAUAGUCAAUACACAGUCAAUAUUGAUUGAUUUAUGCAGUCAAUACUGAGUAAUAUGUACAGUCAAUAUUGAUUUAUUUAUACAGUCAAUAUUGAUUAGUAUAUACAGUCAAUAAUGGUUCUACGUUAAUUAGUACAUACAUACAUACAUCCAUACGAGCAAAUGAAUUUGGUACAUGUACCUGUUUGUCUGUCAAUUUAUGCUGUUGAUCUAGCAAAGCCUGUAACUGUGUGUGUGUGUGUGUGUGUGUGCACGCUCACAUGUGUCGUUGCAUGCUUGCGUGUGCAUGAAUAGUGUAGAGUAGUGUAAUGUAGAUACACAUAUAGAGAGAUAUGCUAAGUAGCUGUACACAAACAGACACACAGACACAUGGUCUUGGACAGAGAAAAUAAACACGCAUAUGCACAUCACACGUGUGUGUGUGUGUGUGUGUGUGUGUGUGUGUGUGUGUGUGUGUGUGUGUGUGUGUGUGUGUGUGUGUACCUGUGACGGUGUCUAUAGAUCUGGGUUAUGGUUAUGUGUGCAGAUGCAUAUCCUUGCAUGUUUAUGUGUAUAGUAUUGCUAUGUUUACUGGUGUAGUAAUAUAUAUAUAUAUAUAUAUAUAUAUAUAUAUAUAUAUAUAUAUAUAUAUAUAUAUAUAUAUAUACCUAUAUGUAACAUGACAUUUGUGCAAACAAACAGUACUGGAUCAUCAUGCCAUGAAUUCUUCGACUACUGUAUCAGGUUAAUGUCUUUCAGUGAGACUUGUUCUCUGUAUAGCCAUUGUCAACGUGGGUUUUAGUCUUCUAGGUGACCGCAUCAACCAAACAUCAAUCUAUGGAUACCAUGCAUCUCAAGAGAGAGUUUCUGUCUACAGUUUGCAGCCGAAGCUGCCCUAUCUAUAGUAAUUCUUUUUCUUCCUGGCAGCUUUCUGAAAUAGAACAAAGUACAGGAGUAUGGCAUACUGUAGCAGACCUCGUACUGAAUUCUAUGACCCAUAAUUACUACACAUAUAAUGCGAAUUUUUUGAACGACGUAUAUAUAGAAGCAGAGGAAUUUAUGUUUUAGAUAUGUGAAUCUGAAUCUGAGUUGUCUUUCUUGGGACAGAAAUUAAAAGAUCUUGGGCAAACAAAUUGAAGUCUCUGUGUAAAGCAUAUACGUGCAAUAGAUGCAAUAUACUGUACAUACGUAACCAGCUUGUUCAGAUCGA